rnacentral:lncRNA from 1 species
AGGAAUGCCUAAGGGUUUAAAAAAAGAAUCCUAAUGAGAUUAGGACUUCUCUUUAAAUAAAAAUUAAAGUUUGGUUUGGACUCUAAUUAAAGCCCUAUAUAAGAGGACCCCCUCUUAGCCUUUAAAAAUAACAACCAAGCCAUCAAGAGAUCUCCACCAAGCCUCCAUGCCUCCUCUCUCUCCCUCUCUUUCUCAUACGGCCA